AGAGAGAGACAGUUAGAGAUAGCAAGAGUUACGUUCCCUUUAGAUAUCGUAGAGCAAUAGUUACGUUCCCUUUAGAUAUCGUAGAGCAAUAGUUACGUUCCCUUUAGAUAUCGUAGAGCAAUAGUUACGUUCCCUUUAGAUAUCAUAGAGCAACAGUUACGUUCCCUUCAGAUAUCGUAGACGACUUUAAGGAGAUGGUAAAGAGAGAUAGAGAAAAGUUACGUUCCCUUCAGAUAUCGUAGACGACUUUAAGGAGAUGGUAAAGAGAGAUAGAGAAAAUUACGUUCCCUUCAGAUAUUGUAGACGUAUUAUAUAGUUAAUAGUUACGUUCCCUCCCGAUAUUAUAGACGUUAAGAAGGUAAAAAAAAAAACAAUAGAGCAAUAGUUAUACGUUCCCUUUCGAUAUAAUAGAUUAGUGAAUGAACGAAAUAAAAAUAAAGAAAAAGAAAGAAAGAGAAUGAAAUGAAAAUAAA